ensembl:lncRNA
GCCUGAUUAGAGCUCCUCCCAGGAGACACAAGCUGCGUCUCAUUUGGUCGGCUGCAGCCUCCUGAGGCUGCUCCUUAUUCGUCCACCACUACGUCAACUCGGCUGUCCCGUUCCGUCGGGCCGAGUCGGCACUACCUCCGUCUGACGGACCAAACGCUGCCGGGGGAAAAACAGCAUGCACACCAGGGGACGUCAUGCCAUCUACCGUCCCAUCCCAGCCUGCUUCGCCGGAACCUGACGGAUUCCCCGGCUUCCCCUCUCGCCCUCCGCGGCUUGGGAGAACUCCUCAAGCCAGUCGGAUCAUUACCUCUCCCUCCAGCGUGGAUUCUAUCUACCGCACCGCUCCUGCCGCCAGCUCCAGGAACACCACUCCCUUCCACCACAAUGUGCGAGAAUGACAUGUUAACCUAUUGCAUUCGACUGUCUUCCACUUUGUCUGAUGUAAGAAAACAGGUUGUAGCUGCACUUCCGAGAGAAGCAACGGGUCCACUACACCGACUGCAACCAGGUGACUUCGUGGUGGUGAAGGACUUCAGGAGGAAAAGUUGGAAAGCUAAACGGUGGCAGGGUCCAUUCCAGAUUCUCCUGGUCACCCAAACAGCGGUCAAGGUACCUGAAAGGGCGACUUGGGUCCACGCAUCCCAUUGCAAGAAGGUUCCAGAUCCAGUACCAGCAGUGGGCUCAGGCGACCCUACCUCCACAACAAGUGUCAAUCAACCGACACCACCGAUCCAGUGACCACGGACAGGCAGUUGACCGACAGACACACAGUGCAUUGUGAUCUGUGUUGACUGUCUACAACACGGGUGCCUCACAAGAAAGAAGGUUGGCAGACUCCACAUCCCAACGUGUACCUGCGGACCAACACAAGAAGAAGAACACGGCCAGGACCCCUCCACAUAGACACAGUAGUCGUUUGUGCCACGACAGUUUUUUAGGGAGUUUUUGUUCUGUGGCAGGCAAAGUUUUGUGAGCGAUGUUCAGAUGUUCAUGUUUGUGAUAUUUGAUGGAUGAACUAUUUAAGUCUCUCUGCUGCCAAAAUAAAAAAAUUGUAUCCUCUGAA